GGAUUAGAAACCCGGGUAGUCCUAGCCUUAAACGAUGUAUGCUUGGUGUCUGGGGUUUACAACUCCCCGGGUGCCGGCGCUAACGCAUUAAGCAUACCGCCUGGGGAGUACGGCCGCAAGGCUAAAACUCAAAGGAAUUGACGGGGGCCCGCACAAGCGGCGGAGCAUGUGGCUUAAUUCGAUGCGACGCGAAGAACCUUACCAAGGCUUGACAUGAAUGGAAAUCUCACAGAGAUGUGAGGUCCGCAAGGGUCAUUCACAGGUGGUGCAUGGUUGUCGUCAGCUCGUGUCGUGAGAUGUUGGGUUAAGUCCCGCAACGAGCGCAACCCUCGUCCUAUGUUGCCAGCACGUCAUGGUGGGGACUCAUAGGAGACUGCCGGGGUCAACUCGGAGG
rnacentral:rRNA from 1 species